AAGGACGUUUGAAAUUCCAACGUAAAGAUGAAACCAAGUUAGCAGACUAUGAAAAUACCUACUAUACUAUACUGUACAGAAAUUUACAGUACAAGUGUGAAUCAUCGACCAAUCAAACGACUGGACGGCUGUUGACAUUUCAUUGUCUGUAUAUAAUCUACUACUUUACCUGCCCAAAAACGUUGUUACUUAAAGAAGAAAAAUUAUGACAGCUCCUGGAGCGGAGAAGAUAACGGACCUAAAGACAGGGAUUCCAACAGAGUAUUAAACGUGAGGAGAAGAUUUAAUUAAGUAACGUACGUUACAUCUAAGUCGCAGAAAUAAUCGACAGAGUCGUAACUUUAGGGAUACCUGCUGUAAUGGGACAAAGAACAAGACUUAAUCCAAACUAUGGAUCAGAUUAAUUGAUGUGGGUUAAGUAUAGUAGAAGUCUCGAGGCAUCGUAAAUAUUUGAUCGUAAUAUGUUUGUUGACAAUUUUUCUACGUAUUAUGAAAUCUUACUACAAUGAAAUACGACAGAAAGAGUCAAGAUCUUUGUUUAAGAGGAGGAUUAAUGUUUUAAUCUCCAGUCUAUGUGUAUUCUAAUGUUAAGAAAUCAUGAGAUUAGAGACGGACUUAAAAGUUAAAUGACACUAUGCCUUUGUUAUUAAUAAACGAAUAACCUUUCCA